GUGCUUGCUUUGGCAGCACAUAUACUAAAAUUGGAAAGCUACAGAGAUUAGCAUGGCCCCUGUGCAAGGAUGACAAGCAAAUUUGUGAAGCAUUCCAUAUUUUU